rnacentral:rRNA from 1 species
AGGACGAACGCUGGCGGCGUGCUUAACACAUGCAAGUCGAGCGGAAAGGCCCUUCGGGGUACUCGAGCGGCGAACGGGUGAGUAACACGUGAGUAAUCUGCCCCUAGCUCUGGGAUAGCUCCGGGAAACCGGGAUUAAUACCGGAUACGACCACCUUAGACAUCUUUUGUGGUGGAAAGAAUUUCGGCUAGGGAUGAGCUCGCGGCCUAUCAGCUUGUUGGUGGGGUAACGGCCUACCAAGGCGACGACGGUAGCCGGCCUGAGAGGGCGACCGGCCACACUGGGACUGAGACACGGCCCAGACUCCUACGGGAGGCAGCAGUGGGGAAUAUUGCGCAAUGGGCGAAAGCCUGACGCAGCGACGCCGCGUGGGGAUGAAGGCCUUCGGGUUGUAAACCCCUUUCAGCAGGGACGAAGCGAAAGUGACGGUACCUGCAGAAGAAGCGCCGGCUAACUACGCGCCAGCAGCCGC